UGAGAAUCAUUCCAACAAAGAGCUUAGGUUGUUGUGCGUUGGCCCGAACACCAGCAUCACCAACAAUCCCAAUUGCCAUUCCAGCAGAGAGACCAGCAAGUCCACAAGCAAGCCCAGAAGACAGGUGUGCAUACCCAUCAAACAAAUAGUAAGACUUAGCUUUUGGGUUUAUUCCGGUACUGAUAAUAACAGCGAUGAUCAACCCAUAGAUACCCAACACUCCAGCCAUAACAACAGGAACUAUAGAUUUCAUGACAAGCUCUGGUCGCAUGACUCCCAUGGAAGCCACUCCAACUCCACUCUUAGCAGUCCCAUAAGCAGCACCCAUGCAUGAGAAAACAAGAGCUGCAGCAGCCCCGAGGAAGCCGAAGAAAGGAGCAGUUUCAUCGCCG
rnacentral:misc_RNA from 1 species